GCUCGGGUGGCCUAGUGGUUAGAGCGCCUGCCUCGGAUGCGGGAGGUCGUGGGUUAGAUCCCCUGUCAAGUCA